UACGGAGGAUCCAAGCGUUAUCCGGAUUUAUUGGGUUUAAAGGGUGCGUAGGCGGCCUAUUAAGCCAGGGGUGAAAGACGGUAGCUUAACUAUCGCAGUGCCUUUGAUACUGAUGGGCUUGAAUGUACUUGAGGUAGGCGGAAUGUGACAAGUAGCGGUGAAAUGCAUAGAUAUGUCACAGAACACCAAUUGCGAAGGCAGCUUACUAAAGUAUGAUUGACGCUGAGGCACGAAAGCGUGGGGAUCAAACAGG
rnacentral:rRNA from 1 species